rnacentral:rRNA from 1 species
UCGAUCAUGGCUCAGAUUGAACGCUGGCGGGAUGCUUUACAUGCAAGUCGAACGCGGCAGCACGGACUUCGGUCUGGUGGCGAGUGGCGAACAGGUGAGUAAUGUAUCGGAACGUGCCUAGUAGCGGGGGAUAACUACGCGAAAGCGUAGCUAAUACCGCAUACGCCCUUCGAAGGGAAAACGGGGGACCUUCGGGCCUCCGCACCUGAAGCGGCCGAUAUCGGAUUAGCUAGUUGGUGGGGUAACGGCUCGCAAGGCGACGAUCCGUGGCUGGUUUGAGGAGGACGACCAGCCACGCUGGGACUGAGACCUGGCCCAGACUCCUACGGGAGGCAGCAGUGGGGGAAUUUUGGACAGUAGAGGAAACCCUGAUCCCAACCAUCCCGCGUGUGCGACGAAGGCCUUCGGGUUGUAAAGCACUUUUGGCAGAAAGAAGCGGCGCAGGAUAAUACCCCCGUGCAACCUGACGGUGCCUGCAAGAAUAAGCACCGGCUAACUACGUGCGGCAGCCGCGGUAAUACGUAGGGUUUGGCAUUCAAUCAGGUACUGGGCGUAAAGCGUGCGCAGGCUUGUUCCGGAAAAGAAGAUGUGAAAUCCCAGAGCUUAACUUUGGAGCUGCAUUUUUAACUACAGGCUAGAGUGUCAGAGGGGAGGUGGAAUUUCCGCGUGUAGCAGUGGGAAAUGCCGUAGAUAUGCGGAGGAACACCGAUGGCAAGCGGCCUCACAGGAUAACGCAGCGCUCAUGCACCGAAAGCGUGGGAGCAAACAGAAGUUAGAUACCUGGUGCGAUCCACGCCUAAACGAUGUCAACUAGCUGUUGGGAGCCUUCCGGGCCUUGUUGGCGCAGCUAACGUGAAGUUGACCGCCUGGGGAGUACGGUCGCAAGAUUAAAACUCAAAGGAAUUGGCGAGGACCCUAUAAGCGGUGGAUGAUAUUGGAUUAAUUCGAUGCAACGCGAAAAACCUUACCUACCCUUGACAUGUCUGGAAUCCCGAAGAGAUUUGGGAGUGCUCGCAAAGAACCGGAACACAGGUGCUGCAUGGCUGUCGUCAGCUCGUGUCGUGAGAUGUUGGGUUAAGUCCUGGCACGCGAAGCGCAACCCUUGUCAUUAGUUGCUACGAAAGACGCACUCUAAUGAGACUGCCAGUGACAAACCGGAGGAAGGUGGGGAUGACAUCAAGUCCUCAUGGCCCUUGUAGGUGAAGACUACACGUCAUACAAUGGUGGGACAGAGGGUCGCCAACCCGCGAGAGGCCAAUCCAGAAACCCGAUCGUAGUCCCGGAUCGCAGUCUGCAACUCGACUGCGUGAUCGGAAUCGCUAGUAAUCGCGGAUCAGCAUGUCGCGGUGAAUACGUUCCCGAGUCUUGUACACACCGCCCGUCACACCAUGGGAGUGGGUUUGCGAAGUAGUUAGCCUAACCGUAAGGAGGCGAUUACCACGGUAGGAUUCGCGGUACGGGGUGAAGUCGUAACAAGGUAACUCUGUUACUACAAUUAUACAG